ACUAAAUUGUAACGACAUAGCAUAUGAAUAAUCCCAACUUUUAACGAACGAUAAAGUAACCCACGCUAUUUCUAAAGAGCGUACAAAAGAAACAGCGUGCAAAACUAAAAAGCGCAUAAGUAACAUGGGACAGAGGAAAUACUGUUUGCUUUCGAGAAAAAGAAAGCCAUCUCGUAAUACUACUAGACAUCCGAGCCCGUACCAGCACAAGCCCAACCUAGGUAGUGCUUAGUAUGCAUUUUAUGCAAUAAGAUCCAAGUAUAACUUAUUUGAAAGUCAAGUUUAUACUUUUAUGAUCUAAUUUAUCAAGUUUUAUAAAGUAAAUUUGAUAAUGGGUCAAACUUCAAUGUUCACUUAACAAUUAUCCGCUUGAUUUCAUUUUGUGUGAUGCAUUUUUCAUUUUAAUUAAUUAUCCCAAGAGAAUAACACCUAAUAUUUUUAAAUAGUUUAACUUUAAAUUUUUUUAUUUUAUCUUCACUUACAAGAUUCAUAAUCAUAAAAUGCUAUAACAUAUUUUACAGAUUGUAAGUAAAAAAUCUAAAUACCAUCACAUAGAGUGAGAUGGAGGGGUAUAAACUACAUAAGCUGUAUGAAACAACCCAACAACUAUCAAGAAAUUGUCCUCUUUACUUUUACUGUUCCUAUUUUCCAUUAGUAUAUAUUGCGUAAGAAUCUUUCCUUUCUGCUAUUCAACUAUUUUACGUUGGAUAUUUUUUAAAUUUU